UGGUCUUUGAAGUUUGACAGCUCUCUGGG
rnacentral:piRNA from 1 species